AAUUUUUUUAAUGAAAAUUUGUUGGCAUGAUGCCUCAUAAGGUUAAUAUUACUGUAUAUGGACAUACAAACAUUUUCAUGUUUUCAUUUAGGUUGUUUUGUCAUUCCAUGUCGUAACAUAAUUUGUUAUUUGCUUUUAUAGUCCUAGAUGAUACUUUUUUUCAACAUGUGUACAGAUAAUGUUGUUUGACGAAUUCAGGUGUACCAUGGGGAGCGGAGGUUGUUAUGAAUUCAGGUGUACCAUGGGGAGCGGAGGUUGUUAUGAAUUCAGGUGUACCAUGGGGAGCGGAGGUUGUUAUGAAUUCAGGUGUACCAUGGGGAGCGGAGGUUGUUAUGAAUUCAGGUGUACCAUGGGGAGCGGAGGUUGUUAUGAAUUCAGGUGUACCAUGGGGAGCGGAGGUUGUUAUGAAUUCAGGUGUACCAUGGUGAGAGGAGAUUUGUUAUGAAUUCAGGUGUACCAUGGGGAGCGGAGGUUUGUUAUGAAUUCAGGUGUACCAUGGGGAGCGGAGGUUUGUUGUGAAUUCAGGUGUACCAUGGUGAGAGGAGGUUCGUUGUGAAUUCAGGUGUACCAUGGGGAGCGGAGGUUUGUUAUGAAUUCAGGUGUACCAUAGGGAGCGGAGGUUUGUUAUGAAUUCAGGUGUAC
rnacentral:lncRNA from 1 species